CGGGGUUGAAGCAGGCACCCCGUUAGACGGCCUAUCCGUCCAAGUUCUGC
ncrna:unclassified sequences chromate-resist RNA